ACUAAUAAAUCCGACAUUUCCCAGUUUGAGCUGACCACAGACGGAGCUUAUUCUAGAAUCUUAAAUUGUCAAUUAGCUCAACUCAACCUCAAUGUAACUGAAACGCCACUCUCCCAGUACCUACCAUUUGGUACCUCCCCAUUUUUUUUGUUUCAAACUACAAGCAAACACCUUCCCAUAAAUCUGAAUAUGAAGAAGAACUAGUCACAUAUUCACCAACACUGAUCAACCCAGUCAUGUUUCAUCAAAACCAUUUUCAUCCAUAAUGAUAACAAACAUGGAUUCCACGGAGUUCUGCAAUAUGGGUAUAGCUUCAAUUGUUUUCUUCAUCUUCUUAGACAUGGUUGUCAUUGCACAAACCAUACCCACCACUUUACAAGGCCCAUUUACGCUUGUGACUCACAGUUUGGAUCCAUCAUUGCGUCUCGGCAGUGAUGACUUGCCUAUGGAUAAUCCUAGGCUGAAGAGGAAUGUGACUGCAAUGUUUCCAGAGCAGAUUGCUCUUGCUUUAUCUUCGUCGUCUUCAAUGUGGGUUUCUUGGGUUACUAAUUGGUCUUAAUGUGACUGCCCUUGAUCCAUCAACUGUUGCUAGUGAGGUGUGGUAUGGGAAAGAAAGUGGGAAUUAUUCGAUGAAGAUGACGGGGGUUUCUACGGUUUACAGUCAAUUGUACCCAUAUGAGGGUCUUUGGAAUUACACCUCUGGCAUCAUUCAUCAUGUGAAAAUUGAUGGUAAAGAAGUAACACAACUCUUUUAAUUAUUGCCUUUUCGAUGCUUAAUGUACUCAAUUCAAACAUAGCAGUUAAGAAAAGAUAUAAAGAUAAAAACAUCAAACAAGAAAUUAUCCCUUUACUUGAUCCGAUAAAAAGGCACUGUGAUAGGGAGUAUUAGGACUGGUGAUUUAGGCAAUAAUCAUUUGAUUAAUCAUGGAAGUCCUUUAGUAUGAACCUGCUCUGGCAAUGCCCCAAAUCUGCCAUAUGGCUGUUCAAUAUGAAUUUUGGUGUUAAUGAACACUGCAUACUCCAUACAGGAGUUAAAACAGAUGACCCUUACAUGGAAAUAAGGAUUUGUGUUGUUGAUUAGAAAACUUAAGCUUCUGUACAACUAAUUUCCAAAAUAAUCUAUGUUUUUCAACAAGAAAAUGGAGUGUGGUUGUGAGUUAUAUAAUAGUUCCUUCCCAUUCUUAGCACUGAAUUUCAGAAUUGGAUCAAUUGUUGUGUAUUCUUCACCUAUUCAUGCUAAUCUGGUUAGGUCUUCCAAUGUUUGAAUGUAUUCAUAUAUUUAUACUUAAGAUAAAUGUUUGAAACUAGUUCAAUUCAAAACCAAACCACUAUACUAUUUGCGAGAUGGUAUAAUGCUGCGACCCCAUUGAUUGUGGGAUGCGGCUAACGUAAUUGUCUAUACCCUCUCUUUUACGAUAAUCUUUGUAA